AUGAUAUGAGAACUUUAAAUGAUGAAAAAUGAGAACUUUCAAUCCUUUGAUUGCCUUUAUGAAUCUGUAAUCUUCAGUUUCGUUUGUUGAAGCUUGUAGCAUCUAUUGUAAUUGUUGUGAUCUUGACACAGUUUCAAUGCAUUAGAGGAAUUGAAUUUGCUUGCCCUUGAACAUGAUUCUUGCAAGAAGACAAUAACAAGGGAAGAGAUAAAUAAGUACAAUGCCGAAGAGCUCAUGAUAGUGCAAUGUACUGAGGACCAGCCAAGCCGUAGACAUGUGUACUUUGCAGAAGACAGGUUAGUCACAGCAUCUUCACUUUGGGAUAGCUUUCAUAGUUUUUAUUCAAUAUGAAUGUUUAUAUACAGACUGUUACUGUUAAGUUUGAUGACUUGUUGUCUGUUUAAGUUUAUGUCAUCUAUGUUUAAGUUCCUUUCUGUGUUGUUUGUUGUAUUCCGUUUAGAAGUUUAAGUUUCUCUAUGUGUUUGUUGUAAUGAAUUAUAUGUUUCUCAUGUAAUGGAUUCUCUGUUUAUCAGAAGUAUUAAAAUUCAUGUUUGUGUC